UUUUUUUAUUUUAGAUAUAGUACUGUAGUAGGAGUGCCAUAGUUUUUUAGCAUUCAUAUCAUGUACAGGCCAGAGAGAAAACAGUGCCUUGUACUUGUAAAGGCCAGUUAUCUUUCUGUGAUCACCUAAACCAUUCCUAGCAACUCCCUUGUGUAGUCUUCAUUUUCUGCUUAUUAUUUUAAUCGUAGUGAACAGCAUAUUCAGGAAGUGUAGUCCCAAACUAUUUCACUAAUGUUCUUAUCAUCUUAAUCACGAAUAUUGCUGAAAAACACUUUGCUGUUCCUCGCCUGCUUUGGAUUACGGAUGCUAUUAAACGGCUCCAAAUCACCAGCAUGUCUAUCUUUGUCACAGACAUCUUCCUCUGCCUUGUAAAUUGCUUACAAACUUCCUGAACUUUUUCAUUAUUGUUUGUCAUCUCAGGAGAUUUACGUACUUAACAGUAUUCCAGUUCUACAUUUUUAAGUAUUAUUUGAGAUUAAUGACCUCUAAUAUGACUCCAUUAAGAGUUUUGAUCUGGCUUGCAAUUCACAUUUUACUGUAUAAUGAAAGGAAUGAAGAACAGCACAAAAUACUGUUGACUGUGUAAUUUUCCCUGCUAAUUUAAGACAACAGGAAUUGUUAAUCUGGUAAAUCAGGUUUUGUUUGUGCCUUUCAACAGUUACGUGUUAAAAUCAAUAUCUCUAUUAGCAUUUGACUCCAAAUAGAAUUUAAAAUGUAUUGGAUAGCUCUUGUUUAUAGCCAUUGCUCAGAAACAGUUCGCAUAUUUUGUUUUAGUAUACCUGUUUAGACAAACACUUAUUACUCUCACUGGCCAUUUUUUUUUAAAUGAAUCCAUCAAUUUAAAUACCUUUAAAUACACUUGAGAAAAAGAAUAAAAAAUAAUGACUUGUGUGGGAAUGAAAAACAAGACGCACACACACAGUCCUGUGGCGAUUUCUGCAAGUCACAGCACACAGUCCUGCUCGGAGAACAUUAUACUUCUCACCCUCAUCUCUUUUUCCUCAAAUUGUGAGGUACGGCGUUACGGAGCCCUGUGCAGCCAAGUGGUCAAUAACCUCUGAAGGCUGAAUUUGCCAGUCCAUUUCAGCUGCUUUGUGAUGGUCCAGCAGAGCAAGCACGAAUGGAGAUUGCCUUACUAUAUUGUUAUAGCACUUCCCCUCAGCAUAGAGGGGACAAGGGAAAAGUAGCCCAGCCUUAGUUUAAAGGUGGAGCAACCAAGCACCCUGGACACCAAGCAACAUUCCAUACAGGACGCUUCAAAUAUCUGAGAGGAAAGGAGGAA